UGCGUAGGUGGCCAUGUAAGCGCGGGGUGAAAGGCAAUAGCUUAACUAUUGUAAGCCUUGCGAACUGUAUGGCUUGAGUGCAGGAGAGGAAAGUGGAAUUCCUAGUGUAGCGGUGAAAUGCGUAGAUAUUAGGAGGAACACCAGUGGCGAAGGCGACUUUCUGGACUGUAACUGACACUGAGGCACGAAAGCGUGGGGAGCAAACAG
rnacentral:rRNA from 1 species